AACAAAUAAAAAAUAAUGAUAACCCUAAUUGUAAACAACAGCAAGUGCCAUUUAUUUAUGACAUAUUAAAAGCUUUGCACACAUUAUUUCAUUUAGUUCUCCCAACAAUCAUAUCAAGUAGGUACAGUUAUCUGCCUUAUUUUAUUGAUGAAAAAAGAAUCUCAGAAGGUUAAGCAACUUGACCAGGCACACACAGCUUCUAAGUGUGGGAUCAGAAGUCACAUCUCUCUGACUCCAAAGCAGGCAAAUUUUCACCUUGGCAUUGAAGCAGUUUUACAGACCUAUGUUGACUUUUCUUUUCACCAAUUGACCAGGGAACUUCUAACUACUCAGCAUUAAACUUCCUAAAUUAUUCCAUUCCUCCUCUGUCAGACUACGAGCUCAAAGCCUUAGUCCUGGAAUCCAGUUUUCUGCCCCAGGCUCCCUGGGCCUAUGGGUCCAGAGGAGCUACCUCUUCUCCAGUCCAAAAGAGUUCCCUGACUUCGGAGUCCAGUUCUGUCUGGGUAAAACACUCUGCUGAAGAAGGGUCCAUAAGGGAUUUUACUAUGGCUAUCUUUUUGGACAUAUUAAGGGGCAAGUUCUCUAAUGACUCAUAAAGGCCAUUAACAUGGGUUUUGCAGUGAGUACUAAGACCUUCCCAUAUGAGUAUAACUGAAACCCUACACAAAUAAUGUAAUGUUUAAUUGCAUGUGCAAAUAAAAUUGUGCAAAACUCUCUAAGAGUAUAAAGUUCGAAAGACUGUAUUUUAUAAAGAAUUUUUUAAUGAUAUAGGAACAACCUUAGGCAAGUAUGUUAAGGAAAAAACAGCAGGGUGUGAAACUGUACAUAGUGUAUCAUCAUCAUUAUGUAAAUUAUCUAAAAGCGAGAGGUGGGAGCAGGGGAAGUACUUGCAGAUAAAUACACAAAAGUGCUAACAAUGGUUGCUGAUAGAUGGUAUGAUGGAGACUUUUAAUUUUCUUUUUUUAUAUACUGCGAAAUUUUCCAAAUUCUCCUCGGCGAAAAUAUUUGUCUUUGGCCUCCAGCGACUCCUGCAGGCUGGUUAGUUUCUUGUUCCCCCAACAUCCCUUGUGUUUUUAAACAUAACAAAAUGCAAAGAGAAAAGA
rnacentral:lncRNA from 10 species